AGAGAGCACAGUUAAGUGUAAAGUCCAAAAGAUAGAUAUAGGCAUUCAUACAUAUAAGCAUUCACACAUAAAAUGAAAUUCUUAACCAACCUGCAAUGUACAAGAAGUAACAGAUAGCCAUUUGAUACUUGAUAAGGCUACUAACAAACUAAAACAAAAAGAAAAAAACUGAUAUAAAAUGAAAAAAACUGACACGAAAAGGAAUCAUAAGAAAAGAGCAUGUGGAUAAAAUUAACAUUACAAUUUAAAAAAAACGAAAAUAAAAGAAAAUUAAAGAUUAACUAACUUUCUGGUUAUCUAGGCUUUCUUGUAUUUGAGUAGUAUUUGUAGUUUGUAUUUGAUUUCUUAGAUCAUGAGUGGUAACUGAUAGAGUAGUUGAAAGAAAAUAAUAGGCGAAUGAACUUGAUACAACAUUACUGCUGAUAAAUAUGAUAAAAUUGGAACUAUACAGGAUAUAUUUGGUAGCAAUGAAUUCUGUAACUCAAACAUAUUCAAGAUCUAAACACACAUCCGCC
rnacentral:lncRNA from 1 species